rnacentral:lncRNA from 1 species
CUUGGAAUUCUUCGGGGGGGAAGGGUUUUGAGCUUGGAAUUCUUCAGGGGUAAAGUGUUUUGAGUUUGGAAUUCUUCAGGGCGUGAAGGGUUUUGAGCUUGGAAUUCUUCAAGGGUAAAAGGUUUUGAGCUUGGAAUUCUUCAGGGGUAAAGAAUUUUGAGCUUGGAAUUCUUCAGGGGUAAAGUGUUUUGAGUUUGGAAUUCUUCAGGGCUGAAGGGUUUUGAGCUUGGAAUUCUUCAAGGGUAAAAGGUUUUGAGCUUGGAAUUCUUCAGGGGU